CACGUAGGGCGCGAGCGUUGUCCGGAAUUAUUGGGCGUAAAGAGCUCGUAGGCGGCCUGUUGCGUCCGCUGUGAAAGCCCGGGGCUUAACCCCGGGUCGGCAGUGGAUACGGGCAGGCUAGAGGUAGGUAGGGGAGAAUGGAAUUCCCGGUGUAGCGGUGAAAUGCGCAGAUAUCGGGAGGAACACCGGUGGCGAAGGCGGUUCUCUGGGCCUUACCUGACGCUGAGGCACGAAAGUGCGGGGAUCAAACAGG
rnacentral:rRNA from 1 species